rnacentral:lncRNA from 9 species
GUCACUUUUUUUUUUUUUUUUUUUUUUUUUUUUAAGAGUUUAUUAAUCCAUUUUUUUCAAUUUUUGAACAACUGCUUUUUUCUUGUUUCCAUUAGCAUUAACUUUUAAAGCAAUAUAUUAUCAUACCAAACCACACAUAUAAAUAUAAGUGUUGCCUCCCCAAAUUCAGAAGGCUCCUCAUCUUUUCUUCUGUCACCACCUCAGCUCAGCCAUCCUGAAACUGGCUUCACAGUGAGCAGGUCCCAUCAAUUCUUUGGACAGCAUCAUCUUAGCACCAAUAUCUGAAAGGAAAGAAACCCUAGCCUCCAUCUCAGGGAACACCAAAGAAACUAAGAGUUCAGAACCUGGAGAUGACACAUAGAUACUUUGUUUUCUUUUAAACAUAUAAUAAUAAAAUGUAGCAUAUAGACAAAGUUGAAAAAAUCCUGUUAUUUUCUCCAUUUGAACUUCCAAUUUGAAUUUAUUUUCCCUUUAUAUUUUUUCUUCCACUGGUACCUUUGUAUAUUUAUGGGGCAAUAUUUUUAGUAAAAAACUGUAGUUUCACACAGGCUCCUGGGUAUAUACAGUGGCUUGUAUGGACUCACAAGUGUCCACAUUGCACAUCCUUUCCCAGUUCUGCACUCAAUGAUAGCACAUUCAUAGCUUGCAGUCAGCCAGAGUGGAAGUAGUAUUUACACCAUGGAAAUUGGCAAACACCAUCAAUCAGGAUUUUCCACCCAGAGGGCCAGUUUUUAAGCAUUUGCCAGGAAAACUCUGGGUAUACACCUCAUUUUUCCCCAAAGCGGUCAAAAUGUCAGAACAUAAAACCAAUUGACAUAUACAAUUAUCAGAGUAAUAUGCCAAACAUCAUGAGAAUUCCCACUCAAGAAAUUUACAUAGAGUAGCUUUUGGAGUUUUAUGUCAUUUUUGUAACAUUCACUGCAUAGUGCUCCCUGGAAACAACCCUUAAAGGACAAAAAAUACAAUUGGAUUACAGUACAUUUUAGUUAUCAUUCCAUUUAGUUAUUCACCAGUUUCAAGUAAUUUCCAGAUAUUUUUGAUCCAUCCCCAGAGGGCUUUAUUUCCACAACAGACAACAUAGAAAAUUCAGUAAUUUCUAGUUAUUAACAUUGCUGUGCUUAUACCCAGGGUUUUUUUUACAUGAAUAAAUAUACACCGCGCUCUCUCCUCAGUGUCACCUUCUGCAGUAACAGUGUAUCUUCUGGAUGAUAUGGAGGAUAGAACCCAGCAAGCUUGGAGCAUGGGGUCUGGCUUUGCCAAAAGCUAAAACAGUCUAAAGGAAUAUGAAGUUUCCUCCUUGGGUCUUACUGGAGUGGGGCUGGCCCACUAAGUUGUUCUUUCUAGUUGUCUGUCAUGGCACCCCUGGCUUUAUUCCCAGGAAUGUAAUGUCCUCAGAUAUCUCAUGGUUGGAAACUCUUCAUAGUAGAGGUUCUCAUUUUGUUGUUUGUUUAGCACCUGAAUUUGGGCAGGAAAUAUUUCUCCCUGAAGGUUCUGAGUAGUUCAAUUCCCCUGCCUUUGUAUUGCCACUUCCACAGAGAACUGGCCUCCCCACGUAAAGAAGCAGGAUGCUCUGGCUUCGCCCUCCCGCUGCCUUGGAACAGUACUUGGCCAGCUUCCUCUUUCCAGGAGCAUGGUUUUCUGAGCUAAAGCUCAGCUGAAUCGAGCAUGCUUCCCCACUUCUCCUGGCA